rnacentral:rRNA from 1 species
UAACCUUGCGGCCGUACUCCCCAGGCGGUCAACUUCACGCGUUAGCUUCGUUACUGAGUCAGUGAAGGCCCAACAACCAGUUGACAUCGUUUAGGGCGUGGACUACCAGGGUAUCUAAUCCUGUUUGCUCCCCACGCUUUCGUGCAUGAGCGUCAGUACAGGUCCAGGGGAUUGCCUUCGCCAUCGGUGUUCCUCCGCAUAUCUACGCAUUUCACUGCUACACGCGGAAUUCCAUCCCCCUCUACCGUACUCUAGCUAUGCAGUCACAAAUGCAGGUCCCAGGUUGAGCCCGGGGAUUUCACAUCUGUCUUACAUAACCGCCUGCGCACGCUUUACGCCCAGUAAUUCCGAUUAACGCUCGCACCCUACGUAUUACCGCGGCUGCUGGCACGUAGUUAGCCGGUGCUUAUUCUUACGGUACCGUCAUUAGCCCCUUGUAUUAGAAAGGACCGUUUCGUUCCGUACAAAAGCAGUUUACAACCCGAAGGCCUUCAUCCUGCACGCGGCAUUGCUGGAUCAGGCUUGCGCCCAUUGUCCAAAAUUCCCCA